rnacentral:rRNA from 1 species
AUUGAACGCUGGCGGCAGGCCUAACACAUGCAAGUCGAACGGUAACAGGAAGAAGCUUGCUUCUUUGCUGACGAGUGGCGGACGGGUGAGUAAUGUCUGGGAAACUGCCUGAUGGAGGGGGAUAACUACUGGAAACGGUAGCUAAUACCGCAUAACGUCGCAAGACCAAAGAGGGGGACCUUCGGGCCUCUUGCCAUCGGAUGUGCCCAGAUGGGAUUAGCUAGUAGGUGGGGUAACGGCUCACCUAGGCGACGAUCCCUAGCUGGUCUGAGAGGAUGACCAGCCACACUGGAACUGAGACACGGUCCAGACUCCUACGGGAGGCAGCAGUGGGGAAUAUUGCACAAUGGGCGCAAGCCUGAUGCAGCCAUGCCGCGUGUAUGAAGAGGGCCUUCGGGUUGUAAAGUACUUUCAGCGGGGAGGAAGGGAGUAAAGUUAAUACCUUGACUCAUUGACGUUACCCGCAGAAGAAGCACCGGCUAACUCCGUG